rnacentral:lncRNA from 13 species
GGGAACGGUGUUACGAGUGCCUGCGUUUGGGAGGUGGCUGCUUUGUCGGAAAAGCUACCAUCAAGGAAGGAAUUGACAAAUCAUGUGUUUUUUUCUCUUUUCAUAGUAGUUCACAGCAGAUCUGAGUGUUUUAAUUAAAGCAUGGAAUACGGAAAACAACAGAAAACUUAAAGCUUUAAUUUCAUCUGGAAUUCCACAGUAUUUGUCACAGCUGCAUCCUGCUGAAUGUUCCAUUGGUGAAACUGAAGGUCUUCUUACUCAGAAGAAGAAAAUCAAGAAGAAGAACCUUUGGCUUG